rnacentral:rRNA from 1 species
CACCGCGGUUAUACGAGAGGCCCAAGUUGACAAACACCGGCGUAAAGCGUGGUUACGUAAAACUCAUACUAAAGCCAAACAUCUUCCAGGCUGUUAUACGCACCCGGAGACAGGAAGUUCAACCACGAAAGUGGCUUUAUCUAAGCCGAACCCACGAAAGCUAAGGAA